rnacentral:rRNA from 1 species
CCUGGUAGUCCACGCCGUAAGCGAUCAUCACUCGCUGUUGGCGAUAUACAGUCAGCGGCCAAGCGAAAGUAUUAAGUGAUGCACCUGGGGAGUACGCCGGCAACGGUGAAACUCAAAGGAAUUGACGGGGGCCCGCACAAGCGGUGGAGCAUGUGGUUUAAUUCGAUGAUACGCGAGGAACCUUACCAGGGCUUAAAUGUAGUUUGACCGGUCUGGAAACAGACUUUCUCUUCGGAGCAGAUUACAAGGUGCUGCAUGGUUGUCGUCAGCUCGUGCCGUGAGGUGUUAGGUUAAGUCCUGCAACGAGCGCAACCCCUAUUCUUAGUUGCCAGCGGUUCGGCCGGGGACUCUAAGAAGACUGCCAGCGCAAGCUGAGAGGAAGGUGGGGAUGACGUCAAAUCAUCACGGCCCUUACGUCCUGGGCUACACACGUGCUACAAUGGUAGAGACAGAGGGCAGCCACCUGGUGACAGGGAGCGAAUCCUUAAACUCUAUCUCAGUUCGGAUCGAAGUCUGCAACUCGACUUCGUGAAGCUGGAAUCGCUAGUAAUCGCGCAUCAGCCAUGGCGCGGUGAAUACGUUCCCGGGCCUUGUACACACCGCCCGUCAAGCCAUGGAAGCUGGGGGUACCUGAAGUCGGUAACCGUAAGGAGCUGCCUAGGGUAAAACUAGUAACUAGGGCUAAGUCGUAACAAGGUAACC